rnacentral:rRNA from 1 species
GAUGAACGCUAGCGGCAGGCCUAAUACAUGCAAGUCAAGGGGCCCUUUCGGGGGCACCGGCGGACGGGUGCGCAACGCGUACACAACGUGCCUUUGACCGGGGGACAGCGGCGGGAAACUGCCGGUAAUACCCCAUGGAGCCGCAGGGGGGCAUUUUUCUGCGGCCAAAGUUGCGGCGGUCAGAGAUCGGUGUGCGUCCGAUUAGCUUGUUGGCGGGGUAACGGCCCACCAAGGCGACGAUCGGUAGGGGGGUGAGAGCACGGCCCCCA